rnacentral:rRNA from 1 species
UACGUAGGGUGCAAGCGUUAAUCGGAAUUACUGGGCGUAAAGCGUGCGCAGGCGGCUUUGCAAGACAGAUGUGAAAUCCCCGGGCUUAACCUGGGAACUGCAUUUGUGACUGCAUGGCUGGAGUGCGGCAGAGGGGGAUGGAAUUCCGCGUGUAGCAGUGAAAUGCGUAGAUAUGCGGAGGAACACCGAGGGCGAAGGCAAUCCCCUGGGCCUGCACUGACGCUCAUGCACGAAAGCGUGGGGAGCAAACAGG